GGGAGCGCCGGGGCCGCAGCGGAGCUGAGGGGGAGCGGCGCCUCAGGGAGCGCCGGGGCCGCAGCGGAGCUGAGGGGGAGCGGCGCCUGCGGGGCUGGAGGAGCCCGAGGGGGCUGAGGGAUCCCAGGCAAUCUGAAGGAGCUGGGGGCUGAGAACUGGAAUUGCCGGGGCUGGAGGAACGGUGUCUGGUGCUGCGGGGCUGAGGGAGCCGGGGGGGUUGGAGGGGUUCAGACGGGGCUGGUGGGGCCCGAGGGGAGCUUGAGGAACGAGGCUGUGGAGGAGCCCCAGGGGCUGUGGAGGAGCCCCAGGGGCUGUAGAGGAGCCCCAGGGGCUGUGGAGGAGCCAUGGGAGGUUUGAGGGAGCCCUUAACUGGUGUGCACUGAGCUCAAGGGUUGCUCUGGGGUAGCUGGAUAAAUGUGGGCUUUGCUAUGCCACCUCCCCCAGCCGUCCCUGUCAGCAGGCAGUUUGAACUCUGUAAAACACAGUUACAAGAGCAAGGAAGAGAGAGGGGGAGGAAAAAAAGCCAUGCGGCUUGUUUUUCCUUAAAGCAUUACCGAUGAUUUGCAUAAUAGAAACAUGCAGGAUCCUUUCUUGCUUUGCCUUUAAACUUGCUGCUGGUAUUUGAACCCAGCAUAUUUUUCUCUAUAUUGUGCUGAAAUAUUCCAGCUGUUUGCAGUUUCCAGGCAGGAUGCUCACACACUGCCUCUGGAUUUGAUAUUCCAUCCCCUCUUCUGAUACUUGUAAAAACUGCUGCCCUGUGACCUGUUUCCCUUCUGACAACAUGAAGAAUUAAAUUAAUACAGACCUUUUCUUUCACAGUUACUCACUGCUUUCAACAUUCCAGACUGUGGUGGAUUGAUUCAGUGCCCCAGCAUACAAGUAUUUAUCAUCUUUGGAGAAGCAGGCACUGCAAAGGCCUAUCAGGAGAGAUGUGGGCUGAAAAUGGAUGGUUGGCAUUAGAUUGUUAUGCUGGUAAAUACAGGGUGAAGUGGAGAUGUUUUUAGAGUUUUCAGUGGUUAUUCAGUGCUUAAGAAUAGAGAUAAUAAAUAAAAGAUUUUUACAGGAGGAUGCUGGAAGGGUAGUGGGAGCCAAAUACAGCUCCUAGGUUAUGAAGCACUCAUAGGUGUGCAGGAAAGAGCCUUGUAGGACAGAGUAAAGCUCUUUAUUCCACCUGUGGAAAGGAGUAGCUCAGACAUAUCCUUGGUGUCUUGUCAGGUGAAAGAAAAUUAGCAGUGAUCCAACCUCCUGCACCACUUUUUCUUUUUUCCUCCUGGAUUCUCCUGAGUGGGCCUAAUUUCUGUUUUCUAUCACUAUUAUUAACCUGAGAAGUCUCAUCCUCUUCCCUGGUUUGUGCCAUGUGUCUCACUCUGGCAACAUGAGCAGAGCCAGCUGUAGACAAAAAACUCCUGUGAGUUUUGUUUCUGUCAGAGCAGAGUUCCCAGCCCUCAGUCACUGCCAGCACCAACACCUGGGUGGUGAAUCCAGCUGUAAGGAUCUUCCCAAAGCAGCCUUGGGUGCUGGGAAAAGCUGGUGCCUGUCAGCUUCUCAGGAUUUGGGUAUCCUUGGGAAUGCUGUGAGCUGGAUCCUGCCUGGCAGCCCGGGGCAGUGAUUAACCAUUGACACUCAGCGUGCUGGUCCCUCAGAAUAGCUCAGCUCAAGUUGCUGCUGACAGAGCUCCAAGAGACCAUUGGCUCCACUGUUUGCCAGGCAGGAGAUCUGCCUUCUGUGACCUUCCAAAGGGAGCCCUUGGGCCCCAGGGCAGUCCUGAAGGACUGAAUCCCUGCUGGCCAUGCUGUAGAUGACACUGCAGUCUCCAAGGAAAUCAGGGCUCUGGGUUCUGAUGGUAUGGGCGGGCCUGUGGAUCGCUGGACGUGGAUCUGCAAGGGCUAAAUCAUCCUGUGCUACAGCAAACUGCUUUUCCUGCCUCGACUGCCAUGUGGUUGAGUGGUUUCUGUGGCUCUGGAGGAAGGAUACCAGUGCUGGAGUUCCUGCUUGGAGUUCAGUGGGAUGACAAAGGCUGUCCCAGAGAUCAGCCCUGUGAAAAGGAGCUGGCUUUGCUCAGAUAUUUACAGCAUCUCACUCAGGCAGAUGUGUUCAGUGUGUCACACCCUUCACCUGUGAAACAAGGAAAUCAGGGAGACUGUUCCUACUCUGUCUGCCCUCAGAUGGGGCUCAUGUUUGGCUUCUUUACUUGUGAAACUGCUUAUUAUUCAUAUUUCAGAUUUUCACCUGUCACAAACUGUUCCAGACAAAAGCUUCAGAGGUAAGAUUAAACAGCUCUCCAAGCCUGAAACAGAUUUCCCAAAAUCUCUUGCUUUAGAGCAGCAGGAAGGAGCAGUCUCUAUCAAACGAUAACAGCCUAAUGCCAGAAGGCAAAACCUUGCCUCCUUACUCUGUUGACAGCACCUGGAGCUGUUCAGCCAUGGGCAUCCUCUGCUCUCAAAGGUGCCUGAUUAGAUCCUGCCCAGUUUGGGCUGUGCUUGCUUUGGCAAGAGAUGGUGAUCCAGAUGUGUGUGUCCCAUCUGGCUCCUGCCCACAGCUGGGUAGCAAGGCAGCUUCUAGGAGUUCACAAUUUAAAACAUUUCAGAAAUGAAAUUGUGUUUCAGGCCUCAGGCACACACUGACAUGAGGCCAGGCCUCUGAAUGGAUAAAGUGCCCUCCAUUCAAGAUCAAAAAUGAAAGGGGAACAGAAAGGCUUGAGGCAGAAAAAACAAGGGUCACCUCUUUAGAAGUGUGGCAGUACUAGAAACAUGUUCAGGACUGCAAAUCCAAGCCCCACACAUGUUGCUGGGGAUCAACCCUUUCCUGAAUGAGGGGCGUGUUCUGUGAGCUGGGUUUGUAAGAGAUGCACUGGUUGGGAAGUUGCCCAGCCUACCUGGACAGAUGCAGGCUGAAAACCAAGGACAAGGCUGUUGCCAGCAGAGAUAACAGCUGUGUGAGCCACCCCUUCAUGUCCUCAGUCUGUCUCCCUUUGGAUCUGUCAGGGAGAAGGUUCCUGGUGACCAGACAUGUUCUGCCUCUUCACAAAGAGAAUUUCACCCCAAAUUUGUUACCCCUUAAGCUCAAGAGUCAAGUAAAACCUGGCCAAUGGGAAAUUCCACAUGCUGACCCCUUUGAAAGGACUCCUGGCAUUUGAGGGAGAAGUUACUGCCAACACUUCCCUAAGGAAUGGGAGCUACUGGAGCUGCAGUGGGAACAGACUCAUCUUUGCCACCAGCACAGAGCAAAUCCUUCUUGAGCAGACUGCCCCCAUCAGAAAAGAUCUGCACAAAAUGUUCAUAGACAUGAAGCCAGAAAAGCUGAGUGAAGUUGAGAGGGAUUAACAGUGAAAUUUGGUCUGGCCACUUGCAAAGCUGUAAAGUGCAGCAGGAUGGAGUUUGCUUUUCCAUUUGGGAGCUGUGGAAGUCUGAGGAGGAUGCUCUGUUUGGAAUGGAGAAGGAAGGUCUGUUGAUUACAGAUCUGUUGUCUGGCUCAUCAAACCUUUGGAUAUUAUAAGAAAUACAAGAAAUACAGUUAAAAAGUUGAACAAAUAAAUGUGUACAAUGGAUAGAGAUCCCCCACUGAAUCCCACUGUCAUCCUGCCUUGCCUCUGGAUCAGAGCACUGGAUAUUGGUGUUUCUCCCUGCAGCCUGACAGCUGAGUUUGGGAUCUCAGCUCACUGGUGCUGCUCUUCCACAGACUCAGAGUUCUUCCCUCAGACACAGUCACAAGCAGCAGCCUGGGGCUGAGCAGUGCAGAAAACAUCCACACAUCUGUCACCUCUCCAGAGGUCUGGGAGAUGAGUUCUGCUGUCCCCAAGUGCCGAGCAUUGACCUAAGAAAGAGGUGGCAAAGGAGACAGGAAUAGCGAGGCCUGAGGUGGUUUUUUUUUUGUCCUCAGCCUGCAAGGCUGUGACUGCAAUGUUGUGGUUCUUUGAGCCCCUUUAAGCUGAAGACUGGCUGUACCUUUGUACUAAGGAAGAACAGAUAAUCCUGUGCCCCACAUCCACAUGAAGGCAGUGUGAGGACUGUUCUUUGCAUAUCCUGGAUAAUAAACCUGGCUCUGCCAGAAAUCAAAUUCCAGAUGUGCAAACUGUGAUCUAUGGCAGCAGAAACAGCACAGGUUCCUUUAUCAAGCAUUUCCACACACCUCACCUGAGCUAUAAAAUAAGAGAGGGGCUCACAAAGGGAGGGAUUCUCAGUGCUUUUGGGAUUUAGGAGAAUGCGUGUGGCUGGGAGAUGUCUGUGUGCCUAAAGCUCCAGGACUGCCAAGCUGUCACAUCUCAGCCAUGAAUCAGCUUUCCAGCCUCAAGAAGUGAGAGAUGCUCAGCAGAGCAUCCAGGAAGGGUGUGAAGCAUCUCAAAAACUCCCAUAUUCCAAACAAUCCUAGAGCCAUCCCAGGGAGCUGCCACCAGCAGCUGGCAAUCAGGACCAAGUGCCAUCACUGUGACACUGGCUGUGACACACAGAGAGGAGGGAGAGGCUGCUCUUGCUGCCACAGACAGAAAAGGGACAUUUUUGAGCUUGUUUAUGUGCUGUGCUUCCCCAGCUGGAACCCCUGGUCCUGUGUGAACCCCGUGGUCUGUGCCAGGAGCAAGAUUAGGUUCCUGCAGACAUAUCUAGGUCAGUGUGUGCUGUUGUUGUCCUGACGACAAAAUGACCCACUUUCCCCUCAUUUGUGGAAGCAGUUGCCAAUGGGGCCGGGGCAUGGCCGAGCACAAAGGCACAGGACCUUCCUCCUGCCUUUGUCUCCAAGCUGGGUUCCUACAGAAACAGAGGUUUUCUCCUCCUUGCUCUGUUUAUUGUGUUUCUUGCAUCUCAUUCAUAACAGAUGGAUAAUUAGAAAUAUUGUCGGGCUGUAUCUGCCCCAGCAAUGAUCCUACCUUUGAGGAUAAGGGAUCCUGUGGGGAUUGUGUGUAGGGCCCCACCUGGAGAAAUCCACACAGUGGGAUGAGCACGGGGUAGGGACAGACCCUGCACAGCUCAGGCACUGCUGGCACAGCUGCCCCAUGAGCUCCAGGUAGGGAGGCACCAAGGCAAGAAGCCUGGCCAACACUUCUGUGUGCGUUAUCCUCAUCCCUGAGAGGGCAGAGACAGAAAAACCUUUUAGAACAUGGCUCUGGUGAGCCUGUGGGAGCAGCCAUAGCUGUAUUUCUGUGAUGUACAAUCUGAAAUGAGGUGAACUGGCCUGAUCUGGUAAUAUAGGGAUGGCUCCAGUGUAAAACCUGGGAAAUGUAAUGGUGUGGAUUUUUCCCUGAGGAAGGAGUGGGUAUUCCACUGCCCUGUCCUCUGGUUUGCUUUAAAGCUGCAAGGGAAUCCAGAUGGCUGACAGUGCAUGAAUCUUUUUACGAAUCCCAGAAUAGAUAAAUUAGUCACUGUUUUUAAUUCCUUGUAAAAGUGCUUUUACUUGCAAAGGAAAAAUCCAGUUCUUUCCCAAGAUGAACACUUGUGUCCCACUGUUGUCCCUGAGAUGGGUGUUACCCUCAGGGCUGUGUGUACAGGGGGCUGCAGGUUCAGCACACAUGGCAAAACCAUCAGCAACACUCUCCAUUCCAGAGGCAGUUAUUUUACAGCAGAUCCAGUUCAUGUUCCCUGCAGGGAGAAACGCUAUUAGAGCAGAGAACAUCAGCCCUGAGAAUGCACCGUUAUUCUGAAAAGACUGAGGUAAAAAAAUGCUGGUUUGGGGAAGGAAGGGAUGGAUGGAAGGAUGAACAGCCAGCCACUUGAAGGGGAACUGGGGAACUGCUUUGCUGGGGAUGUGGAGGGCUCCCAUUGUCACAGUUCCUUCUGUAACCUUUUAAACAUUCUGUAGUUUGGGUUUUUUCUAAAUUCAGCAGAUUUUUAAAUAUGCUUUCUUCUUGAUGUUUAGAGUAUCUGGAUCAUUCUUUCAGCUGCUAAGGGAGUGUGGUGAUAAUUUUGGGAUAACAGUUUGUAGAGUUAGCUUAUUUCUCUUUCCAAGUUUCCUUCUCACAGCCCAGCAGAAAGGGUGUGAUCCUUACCCGUGGCUGUAAGCAUGAAGCAAAGUACACCUCUGUGCUCCCCUUCUCCUUACGCAGCACAUCCCUUUUUACUUUUUUUUUAACUCAAUUCUUCAAUUAGUGGUAAUUCACUCAACUUCCUCAGGUUUGGGACAGUGUCAGAGAACCAGAGUGGCUGAGGGGUGACCUGGGAGCAAUCAGAGCAGUGGGUUUGAAACGUGGUGUGUGGAUUGAUCUGUUUGUUUUCACAACCUCAGGGCCAGACACCCAGCUCCUGCUUCAGAGACAGCACUUCCAGGGCUUCCAUUGUUUUCCUGUUAGCAGGAAAUGUUUUUCCUGACUAAAUUUCUCUUGCUGCAAUCUAAGGCAGGCUGCCUUUCUGCAGAGGAAUAAUAAAUUACUUCCUCCCUUGCUGCAGUAGCAUUUUACAUGUGUGAAGAGUGAAUGACAGAGUCUGUAAAACUUCUUUAGAUCUCCUUGGUUGUGGAUACUAGUUUAAAGAAUAUAUGUAUCUUGAUCAUUGGAAGCACUGAAUAGAGUUAGUUACUAUUAUUUCCAUCGUAUUUUGAUUUCAGACCCUGUCCAGCAGCCUGGAAAACACAGAGCUCUAUUCCAGAGUUUACAGGUGUACAGAAAAACCUGUGUUUCCUCAGGACCAGAGCUGUGUGGUGGCCCAGCUCCUGCAGAAGCUGCCCUGGCUCCUCAAUGAUCUGUCCUCAGCACUGAAGAUUCCCUAAAACCUGGUGAUCUGUAACAUCAGUGAACUGCUCACUAAAUUGUUUCAGGCUCAACUUUGAUCACUAAAUCACCAAAACCUCAAAUUGCUAAAACUAGCACUGACCAGCUUCAAUAAACAGAGCCAAAGGAUGCUGAAGCUUGAAUAUCUGAGAUCUUAAACUUAUGGCACUUCAAGGACUUUGGAGCAACCAGAAGAUACAGAGGAAAUCAAGGCCUGGAAAGCUCUCCCCAUGUGAGCAAGAGAUAAUAAAAGGACAAAAGAAUGUGGACCAAAAUUAACAUGAGGAGUGAGAAAUCAAUAGCCAAUAGAGGAUAGCAUACUAAUUAACAAAGAGAAUUAUGUAACUUGGAACCAAUGAAGAUUGAUUUUUUUGUUUGCUAAAAAUAAGUGACAAAGUUUUGUAUCAGGGACUGUGUGGAGGCUAGAGCUUUGUCAGCCACACACACAAACCCUGGACAGGAAUAAAGUAAUUCCUGAUUCACUGACACUAAAAAGGCACUGUUAGGGGGGUUUGUUUAUCCCAAGGAUUUGGGAAACACAGAGAUAGCUGGGACGGGGGCUGGAUGCUGCCUAUUCACCUGGGAUUGCCAGGGAGGCUCAGAAAACUUGCUGGUAAUUACAGCAUCCUUGUGGCUUCCCUGCUGGGUGGGGACAGGACCCAGCCUGACCCGUGCCCAAGGACAGGUACAUUUCCAUAGGUGGAAGUGAGGCAGUGAAAGCAGGAUUGGUUUGGGGGCUCUGGCCAGUGAUGCUGGGAGAUUGGCUCUGGGGUGGAGAAGAACCAUGGGCUGAGCCUGGGGAUUUUGGUUGGAACUGAAGCCUGGCCUGGGAAAGGCUGAGAUCCUGGGAAGGGCCAGCAUCCACUGUCCACAGAGCCUGGAGACACAGAAUGAGCUCUAAGUGCAAACCCACAGUGCAACCUUUGAGCGGGGCCUGGCAGGGGACAGGGAGCACAGGGACCUUGGUGGGUGGCUCUGCUGGGAGCUGUGUGAGGAACACACAGCCCCAGUGUCCCCUGUGGGUGUCACCUGCCUGUGGGACAGGCUCUGUGGGGCUGGGGGGACAGUGCUCAGCCGUACAGGGCUCAGCUGCAGCAGUGCUGGCUCAGCUGUCCCCUCUGUGCCUCUCUUGCUAACCUCUGGUGCAAGUGAUUCAAGAGAAAUCACACAAACUUACACAAAUACUCAAUGGGUUAUUUAUUUACUUGUGCCUUCAGGUAUACCCCCUGAGACUUUGUGUGUUUAUUCUCUUGGUUCAGCAAAACUUUCUCCCUUUCUAAAGCCAAAACAACCUGAGGAAGCCACCUGGCACUUCUGCAGAUGUCUGAGCCUUCACUUGUGCAAGGCUUAAAGCUCUGGGUGUGGAUUUCUCUUCAGGGCUGUCACCAAAGUGCUUCAAGGACACUGAUCUGGGCUGGGGAGCUCUCAGGGCUUAGGAGGAGUGAGCAGAGGAUUUAAGGCAGAAGCAGGGAGCUGGUGCCAGCCUGCAGAAUGACACCCUGCUCUGUCCCUGCUGGUUGCUAUGGCAUUUUCAUUUCUGCUUCUUUGCAAGGGGGAUUUGUGUUUUUUCCCUGGUUACUGAGCAAAUCUUGAUAGUGUGGAGGACUAGUCACUACUAAUGUAAAAACAGUGAUAGGGGAAAAAUUAAGUUUAAUUUUUAGAUGGGUCUGAACAUCAGCAGUAGAAAAUCACAGAAUGGCUUGGGUUGGAAGGGACCUUAAAGAUAAUCCCAUUCCAACCCCCUCACAUGGGCAAGGACGUGCAACUCCAAUUGCCAGAACUCAGCAAGAGACACUGAGAUAUUCAAAAUCUCUUGCUAAGGAUUUCUCCUGUAAGGAUCCUGGGAAUUUUGGGCCAUGGAUGACCCAGUAAACAACUUGGUCUUUCAGGAUAAGGAACCUCAUGACUGCAGGUUAUUUGCUGCAUUAUUUCACACCUAUAUUCUGCCACAGAAGGAUCCCCCAUGUUCCAAUAGCCUCUUAUGCUAGAAAUUCUGUGCAAAUUAGUGUAAUUAGGAUUAAAUUACCCCUGAAGUAUAUCCAGUGGAAUUUAUACAUGGCACUUUUUUUCCAGUUGAAUACAGAAAUGAAAGGAUGAUAUAAACCCUGAUGUCCAGGUGUUUGAAGGCGAUGAUCCACCUAAACUAAGCCUUGAAAUCCAGACAAGUCAAUCAUACAAAUACACUUUAUUCAAAAGUUGGGACAGGAAGUUGGUACAGCAGUAUUUGACUUCUGAGGAGAUGGAAAAUCUAUGAGCAUUUUGGGAGUAUUUUUUGGUCCAUCACACACAUUUUGAUGGCCUUUGGACAGGACAGAAAGAAGUGAUUUACCUCAAGCAUUGGCCCCGUGCCUCUGGAUACGCCUCCCCCAGGAGGGCAUCUCUCUCCACAGCCAGGUCUGCAUGGAAGGAUUAAGGCAGAGCCCCUCAAGUCAGGAAUGUGAAUCACAGAAUCAUUAAAUAGAA